rnacentral:rRNA from 1 species
AGGGUUCGAUUCUGGCUCAGGAUGAACGCUAGCGGCAGGCCUAACACAUGCAAGUCGAGGGGCAGCACGGUGUAGCAAUACACUGGUGGCGACCGGCGCACGGGUGCGUAACGCGUAUGCAACCUACCCAUAACAGGGGGAUAACACUGAGAAAUUGGUACUAAUACCCCAUAACAUCAGGACCGGCAUCGGUUCUGGUUGAAAACUCCGGUGGUUAUGGAUGGGCAUGCGUUGUAUUAGCUGGUUGGUGAGGUAACGGCUCACCAAGGCAACGAUACAUAGGGGACUGAGAGGUUAACCCCCCACAUUGGUACUGAGACACGGACCAAACUCCUACGGGAGGCAGCAGUGAGGAAUAUUGGUCAAUGGACGCAAGUCUGAACCAGCCAUGCCGCCGUGCAGGAAGACGGCUCUAUGAGUUGUAAACUGCUUUUGUACGAGGGUAAACGCUCUUACGCGUAAGAGCCUGAAAGUAUCGUACGAAUAAGGAUCGGCUAACUCCGUGCCAGCCGCCGC